AGUGAACGCUGGCGGUAGGCCUAACACAUGCAAGUCGAACGGCAGCACAGUAAGAGCUUGCUCUUACGGGUGGCGAGUGGCGGACGGGAGAGGAAUACAUCGGACUCUACUUUUUCGUGGGGGAUAACGUAGGGAAACUUACGCUAAUACCGCAUACGACCUACGGGUGAAAGCAGGGGAUCUUCGGACCUUGCGCGAUUGAAUGAGCCGAUGUCGGAUUAGCUAGUUGGCGGGGUAAAGGCCCACCAAGGCGACGAUCCGUAGCUGGUCUGAGAGGAUGAUCAGCCACACUGGAACUGAGACACGGUCCAGACUCCUACGGGAGGCAGCAGUGGGGAAUAUUGGACAAUGGGCGCAAGCCUGAUCCAGCCAUACCGCGUGGGUGAAGAAGGCCUUCGGGUUGUAAAGCCCUUUUGUUGGGAAAGAAAAGCAGCAGGUUAAUACCCCGCUGUUCUGACGGUACCCAAAGAAUAAGCACCGGCUAACUUCGUG
rnacentral:rRNA from 1 species